rnacentral:rRNA from 1 species
AGGCUUGUAUGAAUGGUUGGACGAGGGAUAAACUGUCUCCUUAGCGGCGUUUGAAUUUAACUUUUGAGUGAAAAGGCUCAAAUUGUUUAGGGGGACGAUAAGACCCUAUAAAACUUAAUAUAAUUUAGGCUUAACUUGCGAUGUGGGUGAAAAGUAGUUUUGUCUGGUUUAUAUUUCGUUGGGGAGAUGAAGAUAUAAUGAGUAACUGUCUAUAAAAUUUUAUAGCAUUGACUAGAAUUUGAUCCUUCCUUGGGGAUUAGGAGAAUAAGUUACUUUAGGGAUAACAGCGUAAU